CAGGGUUUGAAUUAGACAGGAGAAAUCGAUUCGCAAAUUUCCUUCUUGAAAAUUUGAAGGAAAUUUCAGUUUUGAAAAGUGGAAACACUGCUUGCGAAAAACAAAAUGGCGGUCGUUUCAUUGCGAAUUUUAUAAAUUUUCUGACGAAAUUGUAGCCAUAUUCUUUAUUUCACACAUCUUUUUAGUACAAAAUUACAAUAAUAGUCAGCAAAAUACU